rnacentral:rRNA from 1 species
UACGUAGGGGGCUAGCGUUGUCCGGAAUCAUUGGGCGUAAAGCGCGUGUAGGCGGUCCGGUAAGUCCGCUGUGAAAGUCGGGGGCUCAACCCUCGGAUGCCGGUGGAUACUGUCGGGCUUGAGUACGGAAGAGGCGAGUGGAAUUCCUGGUGUAGCGGUGAAAUGCGCAGAUAUCAGGAGGAACACCGGUGGACGAAGGCGGUGGUCUGGGC